AUUGAACGCUGGCGGCAGGCCUAACACAUGCAAGUCGAACGAGUGGCGGACGGGUGAGUAAUGUCUGGGAAACUGCCUGAUGGAGGGGGAUAACUACUGGAAACGGUAGCUAAUACCGCAUACCAUCAGAUGGGCCCAGAUGGGAUUAGCUAGUUGGUGGGGUAACGGCUCACCAAGGCGACGAUCCCUAGCUGGUCUGAGAGGAAGACCCACCACACUGGAACUGAGACACGCUCCAUGUUCCUUCGGGAGGCAUCAGUGGGGAAUAUUGCACCAUGGGCGCCAGUCUGAUGCCGCCAUGCCGCGUGUAUGAAAAAGGCCUUCGGGUUGUAAAGUACUGUUAGCGAGGAGGCGUUACCCGCAGAAGAAGCACCGGCUAACUCCGUGCCAGCAGCCGCGGUAAUUC
rnacentral:rRNA from 1 species